GAAAUGCGAUAAGUAAUGUGAAUUGCAGAAUUCAGUGAAUCAUCGAAUCUUUGAACGCACAUUGCGCCCGCCAGUAUUCUGGCGGGCAUGCCUGUUCGAGCGUCAUUACAACCCUCAGGCCCCCGGGCCUGGCGUUGGGGAUCGGCGGAAGCCCCCUGCGGGCACAACGCCGUCCCCCAAAUACAGUGGCGGUCCCGCCGCAGCUUCCAUUGCGUAGUAGCUAACACCUCGCAACUGGAGAGCGGCGCGGCCACGCCGUAAAACACCCAACUUCUUAAUGUUGACCUCGAAUCAGGUAGGAAUACCCGCUGAACUUAAGC
rnacentral:misc_RNA from 1 species